rnacentral:rRNA from 1 species
UUAACUGAAUCCAUAGGUUAAUGAGGCGAACCGGGGGAACUGAAACAUCUAAGUACCCCGAGGAAAAGAAAUCAACCGAGAUUCCCCCAGUAGCGGCGAGCGAACGGGGAGGAGCCCAGAGCCUGAAUCAGUGUGUGUGUUAGUGGAAGCGUCUGGAAAGGCGCGCGAUACAGGGUGACAGCCCCGUACACAAAAAUGCACAUACUGUGAGCUCGAUGAGUAGGGCGGGACACGUGGUAUCCUGUCUGAAUAUGGGGGGACCAUCCUCCAAGGCUAAAUACUCCUGACUGACCGAUAGUGAACCAGUACCGUGAGGGAAAGGCGAAAAGAACCCCGGCGAGGGGAGUGAAAAAGAACCUGAAACCGUGUACGUACAAGCAGUGGGAGCCUCUUAAUGGGGUGACUGCGUACCUUUUGUAUAAUGGGUCAGCGACUUAUAUUCUGUAGCAAGGUUAACCGAAUAGGGGAGCCGAAGGGAAACCGAGUCUUAACUGGGCGUUAAGUUGCAGGGUAUAGACCCGAAACCCGGUGAUCUAGCCAUGGGCAGGUUGAAGGUUGGGUAACACUAACUGGAGGACCGAACCGACUAAUGUUGAAAAAUUAGCGGAUGACUUGUGGCUGGGGGUGAAAGGCCAAUCAAACCGGGAGAUAGCUGGUUCUCCCCGAAAGCUAUUUAGGUAGCGCCUCGUGAAUUCAUCUCCGGGGGUAGAGCACUGUUUCGGCAAGGGGGUCAUCCCGACUUACCAACCCGAUGCAAACUGCGAAUACCGGAGAAUGUUAUCACGGGAGACACACGGCGGGUGCUAACGUCCGUCGUGAAGAGGGAAACAACCCAGACCGCCAGCUAAGGUCCCAAAGUCAUGGUUAAGUGGGAAACGAUGUGGGAAGGCCCAGACAGCCAGGAUGUUGGCUUAGAAGCAGCCAUCAUUUAAAGAAAGCGUAAUAGCUCACUGGUCGAGUCGGCCUGCGCGGAAGAUGUAACGGGGCUAAACCAUGCACCGAAGCUGCGGCAGCGACACUAUGUGUUGUUGGGUAGGGGAGCG